rnacentral:rRNA from 2 species
CGGUAAUACGUAGGUGGCAAGCGUAUCCGGAUUUAUUGGGCGUAAAGCGAGCGCAGGCGGUUUUUUAAGUCUGAUGUGAAAGCCCUCGGCUUAACCGAGGAAGCGCAUCGGAAACUGGGAAACUUGAGUGCAGAAGAGGACAGUGGAACUCCAUGUGUAGCGGUGAAAUGCGUAGAUAUAUGGAAGAACACCAGUGGCGAAGGCGGCUGUCUGGUCUGUAACUGACGCUGAGGCUCGAAAGCAUGGGUAGCGAACAGGAUUAGAUACCCUGGUAGUCCAUGCCGUAAACGAUGAAUGCUAGGUGUUGGAGGGUUUCCGCCCUUCAGUGCCGCAGCUAACGCAUUAAGCAUUCCGCCUGGGGAGUACGACCGCAAGGUUGAAACUCAAAGGAAUUGACGGGGGCCCGCACAAGCGGUGGAGCAUGUGGUUUAAUUCGAAGCAACGCGAAGAACCUUACCAGGUCUUGACAUCUUUUGAUCACCUGAGAGAUCAGGUUUCCCCUUCGGGGGCAAAAUGACAGGUGGUGCAUGGUUGUCGUCAGCUCGUGUCGUGAGAUGUUGGGUUAAGUCCCGCAACGAGCGCAACCCUUAUGACUAGUUGCCAGCAUUUAGUUGGGCACUCUAGUAAGACUGCCGGUGACAAACCGGAGGAAGGUGGGGAUGACGUCAAAUCAUCAUGCCCCUUAUGACCUGGGCUACACACGUGCUACAAUGGAUGGUACAACGAGUUGCGAGACCGCGAGGUCAAGCUAAUCUCUUAAAGCCAUUCUCAGUUCGGACUGUAGGCUGCAACUCGCCUACACGAAGUCGGAAUCGCUAGUAAUCGCGGAUCAGCACGCCGCGGUGAAUACGUUCCCGGGCCUUGUACACACCGCCCGUCACACCAUGAGAGUUUGUAACACCCGAAGCCGGUGGCGUAACC